rnacentral:rRNA from 1 species
AACGAACGCUGGCGGCGUGCCUAACACAUGCAAGUCGAGCGCGAAAAGGGCAACCUGAGUAGAGCGGCGCACGGGUGCGUAACACGUGGGUAAUCUGCCUUAGAGUCGAGGAUAACCUUCCGAAAGGUUGGCUAAUACUCGGUAAGCUUACGGUGUCUUCGGACGCUGUGGGAAAAGUAGGCCUCUGUUUACAAGCUUACGCUCUGAGAUGAGCCCGCGGCCCAUCAGCUAGUUGGCGGUGUAACGGACCACCAAGGCAACGACGGGUAGCUGGUCUGAGAGGACGAUAGGCAACACUGGAACUGAGACACGGACCAGACUCCUACGGGAGGCAGCAGUGGGGAAUUUUCCACAAUGGGCGAAAGCCUGAUGGAGCAACGCCGCGUGUGUGGUGAAGGUUUUCGGAUCGUAAAGCACUUUCGACUGGGACGAAAAACCUUUGGCUAACAUCCAGGGGCCUGACGGUACCAGGAGAAGAAGCACCGGCUAACUCUGUGCCAGCCGCCGCAGUAAUAC